rnacentral:tRNA from 1 species
GGGGGUGUAGCGCAACGGGAGCGCGUCUCCUUGGCGUGGAGAAGGCUGUGGGUUCAAAUCCCAUCACCUCCA